GCUGAGGUGGGAGGAUCGAUUGAUCCCAGGAGGUCAAAGCUGCAGUGAGCCAUGAUUGUACCACUGCGUUCCAGCCUGGGUGACAGAGCGAGACCCUGUCUCAAAAACAAACACAACAGCCUUUCCUGGCCAACAGGAAAAGCCAAGGCUGGUUGGUUUGGGCUUGGCAGAGGUUCAGCUUAGCUGUAUGCCCGUUCUCUG
rnacentral:lncRNA from 10 species